CAGUAGCCACGGUAAAACGUAGGUGGCAAGCGUUGUCCGGAAUUAUUGGGCGUAAAGGGCUCGCAGGCGGUUUCUUAAGUCUGAUGUGAAAGCCCCCGGCUCAACCGGGGAGGGUCAUUGGAAACUGGGAAACUUGAGUGCAGAGGAGGAGAGUGGAAUUCCACGUGUAGCGGUGAAAUGCGUAGAGAUGUGGAGGAACACCAGUGGCGAAGGCGACUCUCUGGUCUGUAACUGACGCUGAGGAGCGAAAGCGUGGGGAGCGAACAGGAUUAGAGACCCGCGUAGUCCCUGUCUCUUAUAC
rnacentral:rRNA from 1 species